GUAACAGUCCCUUACAAGUCUGAUAUAACUCCUCAUGGUCCAAUGACCUACAGAGUAAAUUAUGUUAUUUAUUCCCCUUUCUCUUCCCCACACAGCCAGUAUGCAGUGGUGAAGUAGGGCACGAAAACUAAUUUGGAAGAAGAGUGAGGACAAAAUAGUAGUUCUUUGUCUAAGCGAAUGUGAAGAGCAGAUUAGACUACAAAGCUUGCUGUACUUACAAUGUGUCCAAAAGUACAAGCCAGAGUGUCAUAUUUAUCAGGACACUGAAGGAAUGCAAAUUGUUCCACUAUGGUCUUUUGAGAGAUCACAUAAAACAGAGGAAAAUGUAGUCGUCGUCUAUUGUUAUGAAGAAAUGGCUCAUCUUAUAAAUUAUAUUUUGGUUGCUUUAUGGAAAUACCUACCAAAUCACAGUGUGACUGCAGCAAAUGUGGUUUUUUGGAAGAGCGCAGCCUGUCCAAUCAAUCUAAUUUCCUCAAGAGCAGGAUAGCUGUCUUUUAGAUAAAGGCAAAGAAUUAUAUGUGAAAUAUCUGAGUUUCAGCAAGUCUUUAUUCUAAUGAAUACGAUUCUGCCACAAAGAAUGGAGUCAACAUAGUCUGGUGCUGACUGCAUUGCUGAUGGAGAAGUUGCACUUGAAAAGAGGCUGUCUUUUCAACUCUGUGUUUAUUUGUAUUAAAUUAAAAGAAAA
rnacentral:lncRNA from 1 species